UUUAGAUGCACUAUUGUAAAGUGGCUGUUCCACUGGAUGUCAGAAGGUGAAUUCACCAAUUUGUAAGUCGCUCUGGAUAAGAGCGUCUGCUAAAUGACUUAAAUGUAAAUGUAAAUUGUGGUUCCACACGUUGAAUAGGUACAAAAAUAUUGGUGGUGAACCAAAAAAAAAGUAAAGGGUACGACACUGUCAACCUGGACUCAGGGGUAGACGUAACAUAAUAAAUGUAAAUCUUGGACACUCCUAUUAGUAUGAUAUGUUACAUUUCAUUUGGUAUAUAUUAAUUUGUGGAUGGCCAUCAUCCAUUUCAUAUGAUAUGUUACAAAUUUCAAUUCCUAUGAUAUGUUACGAAUUUGGAAAAAGUAUGCUAUGUUGUGAAUUCCAAUUUGUUGUGGCUAAUGUUUGCUAGGUGGCUAACACUAGUAUUAGCUAGGUGGCUAAUGUUAAGUAAUCUUAAGUAACCUUCUUUCUUAUGUAACCGUACCAUAUUGUCAGGAAAAGAAAAGAGAGAGAACAACGAAAAAGCCUGGUCUUAUAACUUGUGGUGCCCGACCCCUUGCCCAUGUGUGUACAUUUUAACAUCAAUUGGGGAGAGAGAGACUCAAAUAUCCCAUUCAUUUAUACAUACAGGGCACGUUUGAGUAGUAAGGCGAAAGCAACCGACUGUAGUCAAAGAGUGGGGAGGUGCAUCUGCAACAGUCGAAAAUCGGACGCUAAUGUGAUUUACCAACAGUAAGGCUCAGUGCAACAUGCCAUUGUUUAUAAAAGAUUUUCUUUGUAAUGUCAAAAUAAAACAACCCCCAUAUCACACACUCAUAAACUGUAACUAUACUGUAUAUGUGCCUGCUCUCCAGGACAUCUACAGCACCUGGUGUCACAGGAAGACCAAGAAGAUAGUCAAGGACCUCAUUCCUCCAAGCUACGGCCAGUUCACCCCACUACCAUCUAGAAGGCGGAGACAGUACAGUGUGUGAACUCCAUGCUCCAGUCAAUGUGACUCUCUCCUCCAGCCAUUUUGUCCAUAUCCUGACCUGGUAUCCAGGGGUGUGUACUACCUCGUGAUGGGUUGCUCUGACAGCCCACCUGGAUCUACCCUUGGUGAGUGAGAGCCUGUGACAGCACUCUGUGUGGACCUGAGGCCUCCUGUGGAUGGCCAACAAGAUGUCUACGACAGGUUCAGCUACAAACUCCACAUCAGACGCAAACCGCAACAGGGAUGGCGCAACAAGAUAAAUACAACACCAGGAGAACAUGCCUCCAGUGUCCUACAAUGAGGAACGGUUUCCCUCAGUGCAUUUAGUUCCACCAUCGUCAGCCUUCGCGAAGCAGUGGAAAGGAUGGAGAGAGUAAGGACAGCAGUGAUCGAGACGGAGGGGAAGAUAAAUAGUGGGGGAGGAGGAGGGCACGAGACACGAGGGGCUGCUGCCGAUCUGUCCUCUCUCAACCCCCUCUCCUCUUCCUCCUCUUCUUCCACUAAAACAGAGGUGCUCCUACCCCAUCCAAAAACACUCUCCGGCCUAUCCCACUGUCCUGUCCACAAAGCUUAAGACCACCUCUGAGACAGUGUCCA